AUUGAACGCUGGCGGCAUGCCUUACACAUGCAAGUCGAACGGUAACGGGCCUUCGGGUGCCGACGAGUGGCGAACGGGUGAGUAAUGUAUCGGAACGUACCAUUGAGUGGGGGAUAACGUAGCGAAAGUUACGCUAAUACCGCAUAUUCUCUCCGGAGGAAAGCAGGGGACCGCAAGGCCUUGCGCUCUUUGAGCGGCCGAUAUCAGAUUAGCUAGUUGGUGGGGUAAAAGCUCACCAAGGCGACGAUCUGUAGCGGGUGUGAGAGGAUGAUCCGCCACACUGGAACUGAGACACGGUCCAGACUCCUACGGGAGGCAGCAGUGGGGAAUUUUGGACAAUGGGGGCAACCCUGAUCCAGCCAUGCCGCGUGAGUGAAGAAGGCCUUCGGGUUGUAAAGCUCUUUCAGCCGGGAAGAAAACGCACUCUCUAAUACAGGGUGUGGAUGACGGUACCGGAAUAAGAAGCACCGGCCAACUACGUGCCAGCCGCCGCCGUAA
rnacentral:rRNA from 1 species